GCCCGGCUAGCUCAGUCGGUAGAGCAUGAGACUCUUAAUCUCAGGUUCGGGGGUUCGAGCCCCACGUUGGGGGCCA